CAAACCUGUUUGUUCUUCAGUGUGUUUGAUUCUGCAGGGUUCUGGAUCUCUCAUGUUCUCUCUGUCCUUCAAUAAACUCUAUGUCACUUCUUCCUGAUGAUUUGAUGCUCGUCUUCACUUGUGGGUUGAUGGGUAAAUUCCAGCAUUUAUUGAUGAACUGCAGUGGGAGGAGCUUCACUGAAGGUGAGAUUGUUGUGGGAGGAGCUUCAUUGAAGGUGUGCUUGUUGUGGGAGGAGCUUCACUGAAGGCGAUACUGUUGUGGGAGGUGCUUCGAUAAAGGUUAUACUGUUGUGGGAGGAGCUUCACUGAAG